rnacentral:rRNA from 1 species
GAUGAUAAUAUUGUUGAUGACAUCAAAUAUCCUUUUCCGUUUGGUAUAUUUGAUCCAAGAAAUUGGGAUGCACUUGAUCCUAAAAUGAUAGAUGUUUUGGUGCAAAAGGGUCCUAAAAGAGACUCAUCUAUUCAGCAUGGUAAAAAGGGCAAAUUGUCUAGAAGGUUUUCUGCGGUAUCAUAUACUAGAGUUCUCUCAAAUGGGGAAAAGUGUGACAGAGAAUGGCUUGUGUACAACAAAGAUAUUGACAAGGUAUUUUGUUUUUACUGCAAAUUAUUAAGGAAAGGACUCGUGAGAGGGCAGUUACCAAACGAAGGUUUCAGUGACUGGGCUCAUCUUGGCCAUAGACUUAAAGAGCAUGAAAAUAAUAGAGAACAUGUCACAAAUAUGACUACAUGCUAUGACUUGCGCCUUAUGUUGGAGAAGAAUCAAACAAUUCACAAAAUUGCUCAAUGAGAACUUGAAAAGGAAAAGGAACAUUGGAGAAAAGUUUUGCUUGGAAUCCUCUUGAUUGUAAAAUUUCUUGCAGAACACAAUAUAACAUUCCGUGGUAGUAAUAGUCAGUUGUACCAAGACAACAACGGAAAUUUCUUAGGACUUGUUCAAAUGUUGUCUGAAUUUGACCCAGUUAUAAAAGAGCAUGAUGAUGAUAUGUCUCCAACGUAUCUAUAA